rfam:Schistosoma margrebowiei strain Zambia genome assembly, scaffold: SMRZ_contig0002395
GCACUGGUGAGGAGUCCCACAAUAGGACGAAACGGCCGUUCAGUGC